UGGAUACUGUGGCGAUGGGAAUCAGACGA
rnacentral:piRNA from 1 species